rnacentral:misc_RNA from 1 species
AAGAAAUUUAAUAAUUUUGAAAAUGGAUUUUUUUGUUUUGGCAAGAGCAUGAGAGCUUUUACUGGGCAAGAAGACAAGAGAUGGAGAGUCCAGCCGGGCCUGCGCUUAAGUGCGCGGUCUUGCUAGGCUUGUAAGUUUCUUUCUUGCUAUUCCAAACGGUGAGAGAUUUCUGUGCUUUUGUUAUAGGACAAUUAAAACCGUUUCAAUACAACACACUGUGGAGUUUUCAUAUCUUUGCAACUUUUUCUUUGGGCAUUCGAGCAAUCGGGGCCCAGAGGUAACAAACACAAACAAUUUUAUCUAUUCAUUAAAUUUUUGUCAAAAACAAGAAUUUUCGUAACUGGAAAUUUUAAAAUAUUAAAAACUUUCAACAACGGAUCUCUUGGUUCUCGCAUCGAUGAAGAACGCAGCGAAAUGCGAUACGUAAUGUGAAUUGCAGAAUUCCGUGAAUCAUCGAAUCUUUGAACGCACAUUGCGCCCCUUGGUAUUCCAGGGGGCAUGCCUGUUUGAGCGUCAUUUCCUUCUCAAACAUUCUGUUUGGUAGUGAGUGAUACUCUUUGGAGUUAACUUGAAAUUGCUGGCCUUUUCAUUGGAUGUUUUUUUUUCCAAAGAGAGGUUUCUCUGCGUGCUUGAGGUAUAAUGCAAGUACGGUCGUUUUAGGUUUUACCAACUGCGGCUAAUCUUUUUUUAUACUGAGCGUAUUGGAACGUUAUCGAUAAGAAGAGAGCGUCUAGGCGAACAAUGUUCUUAAAGU